CCUACGGGUGGCUGCAGUGGGGAAUAUUGGACAAUGGGCGAAAGCCUGAUCCAGCCAUGCCGCGUGUGUGAAGAAGGCCUUCGGGUUGUAAAGCACUUUCAGUGGGGAAGAAAGCCUUGGGGCUAAUACCCUCGAGGAAGGACAUCACCCACAGAAGAAGCACCGGCUAACUCCGUGCCAGCAGCCGCGGUAAUACGGAGGGUGCGAGCGUUAAUCGGAAUUACUGGGCGUAAAGCGCGCGUAGGCGGUCUGAUAAGCCGGUUGUGAAAGCCCCGGGCUCAACCUGGGAACGGCGUCCGGAACUGUCAGGCUAGAGUGCAGGAGAGGAAGGUAGAAUUCCCGGUGUAGCAGUGAAAUGCGUAGAGAUCGGGAGGAAUACCAGUGGCGAAGGCGGCCUUCUGGACUGACACUGACGCUGAGGUGCGAAAGCGUGGGUAGCAAACAGGAUUAGAUACCCUGGUAGUC
rnacentral:rRNA from 1 species